rnacentral:rRNA from 1 species
CUGCGUACCUUUUGUAUAAUGGGUCAGCGACUUAUAUUCUGUAGCAAGGUUAACCGUAUAGGGGAGCCGAAGGGAAACCGAGUCUUAACUGGGCGUUAAGUUGCAGGGUAUAGACCCGAAACCCGGUGAUCUAGCCAUGGGCAGGUUGAAGGUUGGGUAACACUAACUGGAGGACCGAACCGACUAAUGUUGAAAAAUUAGCGGAUGACUUGUGGCUGGGGGUGAAAGGCCAAUCAAACCGGGAGAUAGCUGGUUCUCCCCGAAAGCUAUUUAGGUAGCGCCUCGUGAACUCAUCUUCGGGGGUAGAGCACUGUUUCGGCUAGGGGGUCAUCCCGACUUACCAACCCGAUGCAAACUGCGAAUACCGAAGAAUGUUAUCACGGGAGACACACGGCGGGUGCUAACGUCCGUCGUGAAGAGGGAAACAACCCAGACCGCCAGCUAAGGUCCCAAAGUCACAGUUAAGUGGGAAACGAUGUGGGAAGGCUCAGACAGCCAGGAUGUUGGCUUAGAAGCAGCCAUCAUUUAAAGAAAGCGUAAUAGCUCACUGGUCGAGUCGGCCUGCGCGGAAGAUGUAACGGGGCUAAACUGUGCACCGAAGCUGCGGCAGCGACGCUUAUGCGUUGUUGGGUAGGGGAGCGUUCUGUAAGCCUGCGAAGGUGUCCUGUGAGGGAUGCUGGAGGUAUCAGAAGUGCGAAUGCUGACAUAAGUAACGAUAAUGCGGGUGAAAAGCCCGCUCGCCGGAAGACCAAGGGUUCCUGUCCAACGUUAAUCGGGGCAGGGUGAGUCGACCCCUAAGGCGAGGCCGAAAGGCGUAGUCGAUGGGAAACGGGUUAAUAUUCCCGUACUUGGUGUUACUGCGAAGGGGGGACGGAGAAGGCUAUGUUGGCCGGGCGACGGUUGUCCCGGUUUAAGCGUGUAGGCUGGUUUUCCAGGCAAAUCCGGAAAAUCAAGGCUGAGGCGUGAUGACGAGGCACUACGGUGCUGAAGCAACAAAUGCCCUGCUUCCAGGAAAAGCCUCUAAGCAUCAGGUAACAUCAAAUCGUACCCCAAACCGACACAGGUGGUCAGGUAGAGAAUACCAAGGCGCUUGAGAGAACUCGGGUGAAGGAACUAGGCAAAAUGGUGCCGUAACUUCGGGAGAAGGCACGCUGACACGUAGGUGAAGUGAUUUACUCAUGGAGCUGAAGUCAGUCGAAGAUACCAGCUGGCUGCAACUGUUUAUUAAAAACACAGCACUGUGCAAACACGAAAGUGGACGUAUACGGUGUGACGCCUGCCCGGUGCCGGAAGGUUAAUUGAUGGGGUCAGCGCAAGCGAAGCUCCUGAUCGAAGCCCCGGUAAACGGCGGCCGUAACUAUAACGGUCCUAAGGUAGCGAAAUUCCUUGUCGGGUAAGUUCCGACCUGCACGAAUGGCGUAAUGAUGGCCAGGCUGUCUCCACCCGAGACUCAGUGAAAUUGAACUCGCUGUGAAGAUGCAGUGUACCCGCGGCAAGACGGAAAGACCCCGUGAACCUUUACUAUAGCUUGACACUGAACAUUGAGCCUUGAUGUGUAGGAUAGGUGGGAGGCUUUGAAGUGUGGACGCCAGUCUGCAUGGAGCCGACCUUGAAAUACCACCCUUUAAUGUUU